GUAGGUGGCGAGCGUUGUCCGGAAUUAUUGGGCGUAAAGCGCGCGCAGGCGGUUCUUUAAGUCUGAUGUGAAAGCCCACGGCUCAACCGUGGAGGGUCAUUGGAAACUGGAGAACUUGAGUACAGAAGAGGAAAGCGGAAUUCCACGUGUAGCGGUGAAAUGCGUAGAGAUGUGGAGGAACACCAGUGGCGAAGGCGGCUUUCUGGUCUGUAACUGACGCUGAGGCGCGAAAGCGUGGGGAGCAAACAGGGAUUAGAUACCCUGGUAGUCCACGCCGUAAACGAUGAGUGCUAAGUGUUAGGGGGUUUCCGCCCCCUUAGUGCUGCAGCUAACGCAUUAAGCACUCCGCCUGGGGAGUACGGCCGCAAGGCUG
rnacentral:rRNA from 1 species